rnacentral:rRNA from 1 species
GACGAACGCUGGCGGCGUGCUUAACACAUGCAAGUCGAACGGAAAGGCCCUGCUUUUGUGGGGUGCUCGAGUGGCGAACGGGUGAGUAACACGUGAGUAACCUGCCCUUGACUUUGGGAUAACUUCAGGAAACUGGGGCUAAUACCGGAUAGGAGCUCCUGCUGCAUGGUGGGGGUUGGAAAGUUUCGGCGGUUGGGGAUGGACUCGCGGCUUAUCAGCUUGUUGGUGGGGUAGUGGCUUACCAAGGCUUUGACGGGUAGCCGGCCUGAGAGGGUGACCGGCGACAACGUUGCGACGGUGCGACGGAGACGACUACGAGGGGCAGCAGUAGUGGGGAAUACUGAAUAAUGGGCAGUAUGAUGAAGCAGCGACGCGGGGGGGGUGACGGCCUUCGGGUUGUAAACCGCUUUCGCCUGUGACGAAGCGUGAGUGACGGUAAUGGGUAAAGAAGCACCGGCUAACUACGUG